UACAGAGGUCUCAAGCGUUGUUCGGAUUCAUUGGGCGUAAAGGGUGCGUAGGCGGCGCGGUAAGUCGGGUGUGAAAUCUCGGAGCUUAACUCCGAAACUGCAUUCGAUACUGCCGUGCUUGAGGACUGGAGAGGAGACUGGAAUUUACGGUGUAGCGGUGAAAUUCGUAGAUAUCGAGAGGAACACCGGUGGCGAAGGCGGCCAACUGGACGAAUACUGACGCUGAGACACGAAAGCGUGGGGAGCAAACAGG
rnacentral:rRNA from 1 species